AGAAUCAACGCUGGCGGCGUGCCUAACACAUGCAAGUCGCACGAGAAAGGGACUUCGGUCCUGAGUACAGUGGCGCACGGGUGAGUAACACGUGAAUAAUCUACCUCCGAGUGGGGAAUAACUGAGAGAAAUCUUAGCUAAUACCGCAUAACACUUACGAGUCAAAGCAGCAAUGCGCUUGGAGAGGAGUUCGCGGCAGAUUAGUUAGUUGGCGGGGUAAUGGCCCACCAAGACGAUGAUCUGUAUCCGGCCUGAGAGGGCGCACGGACACACUGGAACUGAAACACGGUCCAGACUCCUACGGGAGGCAGCAGUGGGGAAUUUUGCGCAAUGGGGGAAACCCUGACGCAGCAACGCCGCGUGGAGGAUGAAAUCCCUUGGGAUGUAAACUCCUUUCGAUCGGGAAGAUAAUGACGGUACCGAGAGAAGAGCCCGGCUAACUUCGCGCCAGCAGCCGC
rnacentral:rRNA from 1 species